UACGUAGGGUGCGAGCGUUAAUCGGAAUUACUGGGCGUAAAGCGUGCGUAGGCGGUUCGUUAAGUUCGUUGUGAAAGCCCCGGGCUCAACCUGGGAACUGCAAUGGAAACUGGCGGGCUUGAGUGUGGCAGAGGGGGGUGGAAUUCCGCGUGUAGCAGUGAAAUGCGUAGAGAUGCGGAGGAACACCGGUGGCGAAGGCGGCGUCCUGGACCAAUACUGACACUGAGUGAGCGAAAGCCAGGGGAGCAAACGGG
rnacentral:rRNA from 1 species